rnacentral:rRNA from 1 species
CCCCCUUUAUGAUCGUCUCGCCUUUGUGUUCCGCGUGGGUACCUGCCCUGUACCACGGAUAACAUACCGAAAGGUAUGCUAAUACGGGAUAACAUAUGAGAGUCGCAUGGCUUUUGUAUCAAAGCUCCGGCGGUACAGGAUGGACCCGCGUCUGAUUAGCUAGUUGGUAAGGUAACGGCUUACCAAGGCAACGAUCAGUAGCCGACCUGAGAGGGUGAUCGGCCACAUUGGAACUGAGACACGGUCCAAACUCCUACGGGAGGCAGCAGUGGGGAAUAUUGCACAAUGGGCGAAAGCCUGAUGCAGCAACGCCGCGUGAGCGAUGAAGGCCUUCGGGUCGUAAAGCUCUGUCCUCAAGGAAGAUAAUGACGGUACUUGAGGAGGAAGCCCCGGCUAACUACGUGCCUGUAGCCGCGGUAAUACGUAGGGGGCUAGCGUUAUCCGGAAUUACUGGGCGUAAAGGGUGCGUAGGCAGUCUUUCAAGCCAGAAGUGAAAGGCUACAGGUCAACCGCCA